AAAUAAAAAGGUCCAAAGACAACUAAAAAAUAUUUUUAAAAUUAAGUAAAAUCUGAGAUGUAGGUUGAAUUCUAUAUUGUGUGCUGAUUUUUGUUUUUUAACCCAUUAUUAAUGUAAUUAAUUAUAUUCAUAGAUAUUAUAUAGGAAUAAUCCACGCUUUCGUAGCAUUAACCCAACUUGUUCAUGCUACUUAGAUUCAUUGUGCUAACAUAUUACUAUUCUUACAUCCAUGUUGAGUCCUGAGAUGCCUUUAUAAUUUUCUUUGUUAUAUUAUCCUUAUUCACAUAUUGAUAUGUAAGGGUUUUUUCUAGCCCUCUAGAAUGAGUUGGAAGUCUGACCAUAUUCUUUUUUGAAACCAUUUAUACAGUGAGGGGUUGUUUCCAAAUUUUGAUAAGCUAACUCUUAAAAUUGUAUCAUGUGCUUUUAACAUUUUUAAUAUUUUUCAAAUGAAAAUAUUUCAGAGAUCCAGGAAAUAAUAUAAUAGACAUUCAUGAUCUCAUGCCUCGAGUUUGAAAGAUGUUAACAUUUGCAAUAUUUCACUUUGCACUGAACACACAGACAAACACGCAGGAACGCAAACAUAUAUUCUUACUUGGACACAUUCACCCUCCUUUUCCACUCUCUGUGAGUGAGCAGUGAAAUCUCUCAGGAAUGUCUAACAAAUAUGCUUCUUUA
rnacentral:lncRNA from 1 species